rnacentral:rRNA from 1 species
GAUGAACGCUGGCGGCGUGCCUAACACAUGCAAGUCGAACGGAAAGGCCCUGCUUUUGUGCGGUGCUCGAGUGGCGCACGGGUGAGUAACACGUGUGUAUCCUGCCCUUGUCUUUGGGAUAACUUCAGGAAACUGGGGCUAAUAUCGGAUAGGAGCUCCUGCACCAUGGUGGGGGUUGGAAAGUUUCGGCGUUUGUGGAUGGACUAGCGGCUUAUCGGCUUGCUGGUGGGGUAGUGGAUUACCCAGGCUUUGACGGGUAGCCCGCCUGAGAGGGUGACCGGCGACAUUGGGACUAAGGGACGGCCCAGACGCCUACGGGAGGCAGCAGGGGGGAAUAUUGCACAAUGAGCGGGAGCCGGAUGCGGCAGCGCCGCGUGCGGGAUGACGGCCUUCGGGUUGUAAACCGCUUUCGCCUGUGACGAAGCGUGUGUGACGGUAAUGGGUAAAGAAGCACCGGCUAACUACGUG